rnacentral:rRNA from 1 species
UACAGGGGGUGCAAACGUUGCUCGGAAUCAUUGGGCGUAAAGCGCGUGUAGGCGGUCCGGUAAGUCCGCUGUGAAAGUCGGGGGCUCAACCCUCGAAUGCCGGUGGAUACUGUCGGGCUAGAGUGCGGAAGAGGCGAGUGGAAUUCCUGGUGUAGCGGUGAAAUGCGCAGAUAUCAGGAGGAACACCUAUUGCGAAGGCAGCUCGCUGGGACGUAACUGACGCUGAGACGCGAAAGCGUGGGGAGCAAACAGG